rnacentral:misc_RNA from 1 species
GAAGAAGAAGAAGCAGCAGCAGCAAAGUUAUAAUCAUCACCAACACCACCCAAAAGAAUAAGGAUGUAAAAGCAAAUUUGGGGUGUUGAUGUUAUGGGCCUGCAGAUGGAGGUGGUGAGGAUACAGACUAGGGUGAGAGAGGGACAGGUGAUUGGGAUGAGAAAGGAAGUAGGACCCAAGAGAGAGGUUGGGAGUUAGUUA